rnacentral:rRNA from 1 species
UACGUAGGUGGCAAGCGUUAUCCGGAUUUAUUGGGUGUAAAGGGCGUGUAGGCGGGAAAGCAAGUCAGAUGUGAAAACUCAGGGCUCAACCCUGAGCCUGCAUUUGAAACUGUUUUUCUUGAGUGCUGGAGAGGCAAUCGGAAUUCCGUGUGUAGCGGUGAAAUGCGUAGAUAUACGGAGGAACACCAGUGGCGAAGGCAGCAUACCGGCGCCCGACUGACGCUGAGGCACGAAAGCGUGGGUAUCGAACAGG